AUCAUCAUCAUCAUCAAUCAUCAUCAUCAUCAUCGUCAUCAUCAUCAUCAGUUUUGUCCACUUCGCCAAUUCAUAAUAUCGAAGUACCAUUCCUCCACAUUCUUCGUACAUUGCAAAAGCCGUGCUAUUUUUAUUCCUUGAAUGGAAAUCACGCACGGACUGGACAGUUCAGUUCAUCUUGUUCAGUUACUAUUCGAGGAGAUCUACGUAGCCUAUGAUCCAAAAUAAUGAAAAAUCGAGGCUAAUGAAAUAUACGAAGGAUCUGUGCUGGCUGGUACUGCGUUAUGUUAGGAGGGAAUUUAAGUUUGGAAGGAAUAGGCACUUUUAGCUGCUCGAAGAAAUUCUCAAUUCUGAAGUCAAUCAUGCGGACGAAUGUUGUCGAAAUGGAGCCAAAACCUACUCAAUUAAUGUAUCGGUGCUCAUCCGAAAAGUCAUAAAAGUAUGCCCUUUCAGACUGUCGUGUUGAUCAAGUGAUGUGAACAUUGUGUUUGUGACGUCACGAUUAUGCGGAAGGCUCGGGCGAACUCGUCCGUGCUCGGAAAAUGCUCGGUGGCUAACUUUGACGCUCAAUAACUCGAAAACUGUGUUGAAUAUUUAAAAAAUAAUAAUGUAUCAGGUAUUUAUGCUCGAUAUGCCUUCAUUUGAGGUCAAGUUAUUUUUGCGUGUCAGUUCACCUUUAAAUCUAAUAUAAUAUUUACAAUAUACAAAUACAAAAUACAAAUAAAUAUAGAGGUAAGAAAAUUAAUUUUCAGCAAUCUUAUUAAAUGCUAGGAAAGGGAGCAACACAAUCAGCCCUUUGAACAGUGGCUGCUCGUAACUUUCACAGUUGGGAGGGCAGAACAUCAAUAUUGCGAUAAUCGAUAGAAAGGUCGAGUUUGCAAAUUUUUCACUGUAUUCAUGGUUCGAUGUUGAUCGUCAUGGAGCGCAGAAGAAAAAGCAUAUAUAGAUGUGGUUGAUGUUUAGCGAUGAUGUCAUUUUAUGGGCAAAAUUUUUCUUGCCCUGAAUUCCUCCAAAUAAGCCAAUCACAGGCCGCGUUUCGCAAUGCCCGAGGUCGAAAAUUAGCUUGUGCGCAUGUCGGCUAAGGGCAAAAAAAACUUUGCCCGUAAAAUGACAUCAUCGCUCAAGGCACUAGCGGGCCAGAAGCGAGGCUAAGGACGAGACGGGAUAGCAAGGAGCUUUUUCUAGAAGAGAUACAAACUUAUAUAAUUAACCACAGUAAGGCUAUCUUCAAAAUUAAAUAUGAAUAUCAUAGAUUUCCUUUGAAUCUUUUUGAGGGGGCAUUGCCCCAGAUGCCCAUUAGCAAGAGCCGCCACUGCCUUUGAAUAUCUGAAAAACGCUAUAUACCUUGUAAGACUGAGGUCUGUUUUGUAAAAAGAAAAGGUGUCAACAGACACUAUUUUUCUACUUAUCCAUAUCAACAUACCAAUGAACAGUGCUAUUUAGCAGGCAACGAGCUACAGGGUGCAAAGCCCUGAAACCAAAGUCUUGUGUGCAGAAAAAGGAUGUCUCUUUCUCAGUAUUUUUAGACCUGGUUAUAUGCCUGAAUACAAAGGGCCACUCCAGCCCAAAAAUUUUUUCUGACAUUUUUGCAUAAAUUGGUAAUUAGUCGAGAAAAAGAAAACAUCGUGAAAUUUUUUUUUUUGAAAAGCUUAACUCGUUUUCCAGAUAUAGACGCUCAAAGUUGAGAAUCGCCGUAAAAAUACGACAAAAUUUUUUUCGGAAAAAGUACCUUGUGACGUAUGAAGGGACCAUUGUUUCAACAACUGCGAAUUCGAAGUUUAAUUUCCACUGGCAGAAUUUCUUUUGCGAAUUCGCUGCGAAUAAUGCAAAAGAAAAUGGCGUCUGUUCGAAGAUUAUUGUCAUUAAAAAAAGCGAGCAAAAAGCUAAGAAAGGUGUACUUGGUUCGAAAAAUUUAUUCAGAACGUCUACAGAAGGGGGAGCUUCAUCUUUUGGUAAGUGACUUACGCUUACAUUGUCAGGAAUAAAUACUUUCGAAUGUCGCCAACUACAUAUGAGGAGCUUUUAUCGUUUAUUGCACCAAAGACGCCUGUUUCUAGAAGCGUCCCAUUCCAUUGUUUAUGUUAUAGGUGCGGGAUUUUCCCAGCAUUGUUUAGGCUUAGUCAUAGGUUACUCAUUCUUCAACCAUGUUGUUGUUUGAACCAUUGCGUAGUUUUCUGUCGAUUUGCAUAUUUUUUCGUGUGUAUCGUGUAAAUCAGGCUUAAAAGCAGGAAUGGUUUCUACUUUUUCGCUGCGAAUUUUCCAAUCUCCACUUCUGCGCAUAUUUUUCGCGCAUUCGCGGCGAAAAAUUCGCUUCGCACGAAAAAAUUCGUCUCGUGUAAAUCAGGCUUAAGGGGAGGCAAAACAAGUGCACAGACCUCUUUGAGAAGCCGUAGUGACCUACGUAGUGAAUCGUAAACUCCCUAUUACACCGGCCACAUGUGCACUGAACAGAGCCAAAAUAACAAUGAUUUAUUAGCAAACUCAAAACUUUCUUUACCAUAUCUCAACCUAUUUAAGACAUAUUUGACUGAUCUUGCAUAAUUGGAAGUAUUUGUGGUGUUCUUUUAUAAUAUGUGGCUAAAAUUUUAAGAAUAGCUUUUUGUGACGUCACACUUGAACUCUAUAGAGUUUUUAAGUGUGCCGCAAUUAUAAAUUUGUUUUUAAAUUAUCAUGUUAAAUACAUCAAUAUUAAAAAAAUUAAGAGCAUGCAUACAUCUUGACUUCAAGACCAAGCACGACUAGAUCCAUAUCGGAAAACAUGUGUUGCAUGUUUAGUGAAAAUUAUGCAAAGUUUUAUGCUUUUAUCACCAAAAUAAAAAAAUUGGGGCAAUAGCAGCUUUACUACCUCUUCAUAACAACAAAUGGUUGAAAAAAACCACACAAAAAUAGGAACUGUGACAUCUAAUAAAAUUACUCAUUCACCUAUCUUGUCAUAUAUUGGGCUUUUACACAUUUCGUCAUUAACAAAAUUUCUGAUGUAAUCUACUCCACAUUAUAGUACUGCAUUUAUUCUUGAUUUCGUUAUUAAUCUCAAUAUUGUUCGUUUAGUCUUAAUAUUUCCUUUUCCUUAAUACUCGCUAUUUAUUCCCUUUCCUUUUCUUUAAAUAUUUUGCUUCUCUUUACUCUGAGCCCACUUGUUUGUUAUUCUGAGCCCUUUCUUUCUUUAUCCCUUCAUUUUCAAUAAAUUUCACUUGUUAUCUGUCGACAUAACGAGCUCUCGGUUACACAGAAAGUUGCUGAUUUCUAGAAACUAGAGAUGUAGUUGAUAGCAAGUAUAUACAUACACAAAAACUCAGACAAGGCUGUUAAUAAGUUUCACAUGAUAUAAAAUCCUACAGAAAAAGAGAAGCUUCAAAACUAAUUCAAUAUUGAAAAAAUGCAAUGGCGAAACGUCACAAAUGCCUGGAAACAGCCAAAAACUCUUUCCUUUUAAGUUAUUGCAUAUCAUUCAAACAAAUGACAAAGCAUCUUUCUGUGACAGACAUCUUUUUGAAAUCUGACAAAUUCAUCGAUUUAAAAAAAGAAGAUACUGUCAUGAAAUUAUGAGUUAGGGGAUUAUGAAUGAAUUUGCUUUAGCAUAAUCAAAAUCUAAAUUUUACAUAUUUUUGUUCUCAUGGACAAUAAUCUUGUUUUUGCAACAUAUAGUAUGGACUACCAAAAACCUGUUAAGAAAAAAUAGCCAUAACAAAAUGAUUUAAAACUGUUCCGAUCAACUUGGUGCUACCCCAAGCUUCUCUAAAACUCGUAAACCUUUCUCUUGGUAUUCUUGUCUUGUCAUCCAAAAAGAAU